rnacentral:rRNA from 1 species
CCUACGGGAGGCAGCAGUGGGGAAUAUUGCACAAUGGGGGAAACCCUGAUGCAGCAACGCCGCGUGAGUGAAGAAGUAUUUCGGUAUGUAAAGCUCUAUCAGCAGGGAAGAGAAUGACGGUACCUGACUAAGAAGCCCCGGCUAACUACGUGCCAGCAGCCGCGGUAAUACGUAGGGGGCGAGCGUUAUCCGGAUUUACUGGGUGUAAAGGGAGCGUAGACGGUUCUGCAAGUCUGAAGUGAAAGCCCGUGGCUUAACCGCGGAACGGCUUUGGAAACUGUGGAACUGGAGUGCUGGAGAGGCAAGCGGAAUUCCUAGUGUAGCGGUGAAAUGCGUAGAUAUUAGGAGGAACACCAGUGGCGAAGGCGGCUUGCUGGACAGUAACUGACGUUGAGGCUCGAAAGCGUGGGGAGCAAACAGGAUUAGAUACCCCAGUAGUC